rnacentral:tRNA from 1 species
GGACCUGUGGCGCAGCCGGUCGGCGCGGUCGCCUCAUAAGCGAUAGGUCCUCGGUUCGAACCCGAGCAGGUCCACCA